UUUGAUUCAUGUUCUAAAUUGAGUAAUCUCUAAGACUCUAAUGCUUUUGCUGCUUUGCAUCUUGCUGCUGUGGAUCUCAAGUGGAAUGGGUCUCUGUUGCCGUUAAUCUCAAGUGGAACAGGAGGACCAAGGACUGAGUUUGAGUGUUUGAGACUUUGAGGGAGACGAAGGCAAAGUCACUGCACAAUUGAAGGUGUUGUUCCAAUCUCAGAAAUUCAAGUAAUCAUCUAAUCAAGGCCGGCUUAGACCUGGAGCAACGUAUCAUUUCAUUCAUUUGUGUGAAGUGUGAACUAUAAGUGUUUGAAUUAGAAAUUGUAUGAACUAUGAGUGAUGAUGAGAUGAACUGAAGUUGAUGUAUUGCUUUAUUUGCUCAUGGUUGUACUGAAGUGAU